rnacentral:rRNA from 1 species
AUACGGAGGAUCCGAGCGUUAUCCGGAUUUAUUGGGUUUAAAGGGAGCGUAGGCGGACGCUUAAGUCAGUUGUGAAAGUUUGCGGCUCAACCGUAAAAUUGCAGUUGAUACUGGGUGUCUUGAGUACAGUAGAGGCAGGCGGAAUUUGUGGGGUAGCGGUGGAAUGCUUAGAUAUCACGAAGAACUCCGAUUGCGAAGGCAGCCUGCUGGACUGUAACUGACGCUGAUGCUCGAAAGUGUGGGUAUCAAACAGGAUUAGAUACCCUGGUAGUCCACACAGUAAACGAUGAAUACUCGCUGUUUGCGAUAUACAGUAAGCGGCCAAGCGAAAGCGUUAAGUAUUCCACCUGGGGAGUACGCCGGCAACGGUGAAACUCAAAUGAAUUGACGGGG